rnacentral:rRNA from 1 species
CCUACGGGCGGCUGCAGUGGGGAAUAUUGGACAAUGGGGGCAACCCUGAUCCAGCCAUGCCGCGUGUGUGAAGAAGGCCCUCGGGUUGUAAAGCACUUUCAGUGAGGAAGAACGCCUGGUGGUUAAUACCCAUCAGGAAAGACAUCACUCACAGAAGAAGCACCGGCUAACUCCGUGCCAGCAGCCGCGGUAAUACGGAGGGUGCGAGCGUUAAUCGGAAUUACUGGGCGUAAAGCGCGCGUAGGUGGCUUGAUAAGCCGGUUGUGAAAGCCCCGGGCUCAACCUGGGAAUGGCAUCCGGAACUGUCAAGCUAGAGUGCAGGAGAGGGAGGUAGAAUUCCCGGUGUAGCGGUGAAAUGCGUAGAGAUCGGGAGGAAUACCAGUGGCGAAGGCGGCCUUCUGGACUGACACUGACACUGAGGUGCGAAAGCGUGGGUAGCAAACAGGAUUAGAUACCCUAGUAGUC